rnacentral:rRNA from 1 species
GAAGACUGGAAUUGCUAGUAAUGGCAGGUCAGCAUACUGCCGUGAAUACGUUCCCGGGCCUUGUACACACCGCCCGUCACACCAUGAGAGUUGGAAAUACCCGAAGCCUGUGAGCUAACUUAAAGAGGCAGCAGUCGAAGGUAGAGCCAAUGAUUGGGGUGAAGUCGUAACAAGGUAUC